GAAAUAUAUACCACUCAGAGUGGUGGAAUGUUGCACAACUACUGAUGAAGAAAAUAUUGUACAUUACUGUAGGCCCUAUUAUGGAGCUGCAUGUUUGGUUGUUUCAUUGAUGAUUGUACUUUUCUUUAUCUUUAUUAUUGCUGUUCAUCCCUGUUCUUCUUUUAAG
rnacentral:ribozyme from 1 species